rnacentral:lncRNA from 1 species
ACUCAUUGGAAGCCAAGAAAUUUAGUCUAGGCUAGCCUAGAUCUUGUUAUGUAGCUGAGGGGAUGACCUUCACACCUGAUUCUCUUGCCUUUACCUCCUAAAUGUUGGAAUUAUAGGCAUUCUUACCACAACCAAUUGGAUUUUUGUUUUACUGUUUGUUUUGUGAUAAGUUCUUACUAUGAAAGUUUAGCUGGUCUGGAGCUCACUAUAUAGAUUAAGCUUGUCUUGAAUUCAUAGAGAUCCUGCUUCUGCCUCCUGAAUGCUGGAAGUAAAGGCAUGUGCCACCUUUAAUCUGGUGUUGGGAUUAGAACCCAGAACAUCAUACAUGCUAGGCAAACAUUCUACCAACUGAACCUCAUUCCCAGACAAGAAGUAAUUCUUCAGAAUUCUUCUUCAAAUCUCAGUUAUGCUAUAGCAAAACUUCAAUUCCUUCAAAGUAGCCUCUGUGAGAAAACAUAUGUAUGAUGUAAAAUAUGGACCUUAGCUGGACUUAGCAGAAUAGCUUCUACACAGUGUUGGUAGGUGUGGCAAGGUUUGGUACAGCAGCAGUGUAGUGAGAUAGACUGUUACUCCUGAGAGCCUUGGCAAAAGUUAUGCUAGUGUGGUGAAAGCUGGUUCUGUGCGUAUGACAUCACUUGGGAUUUUCCAGGAGGAAUCUGAAGGGGAGUAGCUCUGGAACACUGGAGUCCCUGCAGGAACAGUGAGUGGGAAAACAACCUCCAGCUCAGGAAUGAAUCCAGUUCUUCUCCAAAGGAUCACCUAUUAUCUAGGGAAGACAGUUCAUGGAUCAUUAAUUUGUGGACCACAGUCUAAGUCAUCUUACUCUGGAGGAUGCCAGAUUUCCUUGGAACAUCUGAAAACAAUGGAAGAAAAUUCAUGAUCCCCGGCCUUCACCUUUGUGAUCUCCAGACAGAUAUCUAACCUACGGGAGCAUGUGCAGAAUGUGUAGACUGCAUGCUAGCUCCAUCUGAAAGGAGCCCAGGAUGGAUCAACCAUACCAAAGAUGACCUCAGUGUGCCCCCACCUUCCAUCCUGAGAUAAAUGAGAGCCCUUUGCCAGGGUGCAGCAGAGGUUUGCCUCCCUUCGAGCCUCUCUCCCUCUUGGCAGUUCUUUUUCACCUUUCCCUAAUAAAUACAUUUGCUCUGCACAUUCGUGGUCUGUCUUCUCUUAUUCUUCAAUGCGCAAGAUGUGUAAUAUGAGAUCCUCUAUCUCCCUUCCUACCCCUCCUCCCCUGUCCCAUGCCUCUCUUAAGAGCAUGUGGACUUGUGGUAGUGAACUGGGAAGUCACUGACUCCUGGGGGAGGGGGUGACCUUGGUGGCUGUUGUUUAUCUGGAGCCCUAGUGAAGAGGGAAGGAACACUCUCAGACAACCAGCAUCUGUGGUGGAGACAGUAUGGCAGCAUGGCUCACACACAUUGGGUUGGGCAGUAAGCAUCGUGGGGCAGCUAAUAAAGGC